AAACUCAAAUGAAUUGACGGGACCCGCACAAGCAGCGGAGCGUGUGGUUUAAUUCGCUGCUACACGAAGAACCUUACCUGGGUUUGACAUAUAAGUUGUAGGGAACUGAAAAGGGACCGACCUUCGGGGAGCUUAUACAGGUGUUGCAUGGCUGUCGUCAGCUCGUGUCGUGAGAUGUUCGGUUAAGUCCGCUAACGAGCGCAACCCUCGCCGUAUGUUACAAGUGUCAUACGGGACUGCCGGUAAAAAGCCGGAGGAAGGUGAGGAUGAUGUCAAGUCAGCAUGACCUUUAUAUCCAGGGCUACACACACGCUACAAUGGUCUGUACAAUUGGUUGCCAAGCCGCGAGGCGGAGCCAAUCCGUAAAGCAGGCCUCAGUUCAGAUUGCAGUCUGCAACUCGACUGCAUGAAGCCGGAGUUGCUAGUAACCGCAGGUCAGCAAUACUGCGGUGAAUACGUUCCCGGGUCUU
rnacentral:rRNA from 1 species